AUAUCAGGGCAAAUGAAUGUGGAUUCUUAAUUCAAUCCCAUACAUAAUUACUAUGUGGUAUUUCUGUGCAAGACAUUUUAACCAAAAAACUGUUAAUGUGUGGCACAGAAAAAAAAAGGGGGAAGUUUUAAGAAAACUUUAUGUCACUGAAACUGUGUAUAAUUAUGAAAUAUGAGGCCACUCAAUCACCCUAUUCAACAUGUAUCCAUUUUUCAUUCUGUGCCAGGGGGUAUUGGAUCUUUAGGAGAAGAAAGAACAUCUAGUGGUCCAUAAGCAAAUAAUGAAAUGACCAUGGGGAAUGAAAGUCCACAUGACAAGGGAAAUGGAGGGAUGUAGUAAAGAGGAUAAAAGAGGAAAGAAGAACCUUUCAUCCCCAAUAGAGACAAAAACAAAAAGAAUUCACGAGGACAAGGAAGCCUGCUUCUGCCCCUUGAAACAGGUCCUGAUGGCUUAUGAUCCCAGUUAAGCAAUAUCGAGGCAACUGCAAGAGUCUUCCUAGAGUCUGAGACUUUUUAUACUCUCACUAUUCCUCAUUCCUCCUAACUCAUGUGGUGAUGAACGGCACUUUGUGUACUUAUGGCUCCUGGGAUGAGGUUACUGUGCAAUGUUGACAACAAACUGAAGCCCCAAGAGUGCAGCAGGUGUCUUCAUUGUGACUUCAAAUGCUAGAACUAGCAUCCCUGGGAGGAACCAACAGCUGCCAGAUUUCAGCUUUAGGAGUCCAGAGGAAAUGGGAAGGCAAGCUGUAUGCCUAGUAUUUACAUCCUUUCGUGUCAUUUAUGUGGGAAAGCCAAGAGCAGAAUUUGCCAACCAUCAGAAACCAAACAAGCCCCACAAAACACCUAGCCUUAGAGAGAGGAAUCGGGUUAAUCAGCGAAAAGCAUUGCCGGAGAAAAGGAGAGACAAACUGACUGAGAAGUUUGGGAGAAAGAAGGAGGCCUACAAGUCAGCUCCAGCUCUGCUAUGCCUGACCUGAAUGCAAGAUGCCACAUCUGACUGCUCUGAGUGGCCUGAGGAAGGUCUGCCAUUGUCCAGCUGUGCCAUGACUGAGGACACCUGAUUAGAAGCCAGUGCUACCCCUCACCCGGCCUUCCAACUGAUGCCUCAGACUGAUCUGGCUCUCAGCAUCCAUCGUGACCGGGGCUCUGAAUCCACCUUUCAGUGCCCAAUGUCACCAGCAACUCCCAAGUGCUGCCUAUACUUUCCAAGACAUCAGCCCGGGAUCUAGAGGUAUCAUACGCAGUUCUACGCACACAUAAUUUGCGUUGGUAUUUCUCUCCCCACGUGCCUUUUGCUAUUGUAGCUUCUCUCAGAUACACAGUGUUUGUUCUAAAAGACUCCAUGUCCUGAAUUACUUCCUUGCCCUCUUUACAAGGUCAAAACCAGCUGUUGGGAGUUAGUCAUUCCUUUCAUUAACACUUGGGUCUGGAGGCCGCCUGGGUGACUCAGUCGUUAAGUGGCUGCCUUUAGCUCAGGUCAUGAUCCUAGGGUCCUGGGUUCA